UUGCAAAGCUAUGGAGACAUAGUGAGGUUAGUCAAGGAGACAGGUGGUGCAUGGUUGUCGUCAGCUCGUGUCGUGAGAUGUUGGGUUAAGUCCCGCAACGAGCGCAACCCUUAUUGCUAGUUACCAUCAUUAAUUGGGGACUCUAGCGAGACUGCCAGUGAUAAACUGGAGAAGGUGGGGAUGACGUCAAAUCAUCAUGCCCCUUAUGACCUGGGCUACAAACGUGAUACAAUGGCUGAAACAAAGGGCAGCGAAGCAGUGAUGUGGAGCGAAACCCAAAAAAGCAGUCUCAGUUCGGAUUGAAGUCUGCAACUCGACUUCAUGAAGUUGGAAUCGCUAGUAAUCGUAGAUCAGAACGCUACGGUGAAUACGUUCUCGGGUUU
rnacentral:rRNA from 1 species